rnacentral:rRNA from 1 species
UACGUAGGGCGCGAGCGUUGUCCGGAAUUAUUGGGCGUAAAGAGCUCGUAGGUGGCUUGUUGCGUCUGCCGUGAAAGCCCGUGGCUUAACUACGGGUCUGCGGUGGAUACGGGCAGGCUAGAGGCUGGUAGGGGCAAGCGGAAUUCCUGGUGUAGCGGUGAAAUGCGCAGAUAUCAGGAGGAACACCGGUGGCGAAGGCGGAUCUCUGGGCCGUAACUGACGCUGAGGAGCGAAAGCAUGGGGAGCGAACAGG